rnacentral:rRNA from 1 species
UCACCAGACUCCUACGGGAGGCAGCAGUGGGGAAUAUUGCACAAUGGGGGGAACCCUGAUGCAGCGACGCCGCGUGAGUGAAGAAGUCUUUCGGUAUGUAAAGCUCUAUCAGCAGGGAAGAAAAUGACGGUACCUGACUAAGAAGCCCCGGCUAACUACGUGCCAGCAGCCGCGGUAAUACGUAGGGGGCAAGCGUUAUCCAGAUUUACUGGGUGUAAAGGGAGCGUAGACGGCAGAGCAAGUCUGAAGUGAAAGCCCGCGGCCCAACUGCGGGACUGCUUUGGAAACUGCCCGGCUAGAGUGCUGGAGAGGUAAGCGGAAUUCCUAGUGUAGCGGUGAAAUGCGUAGAUAUCUGGAGGAACAUCAGUGGCGAAGGCGACUAUCUGGCACAUAACUGACGCUGAGGAGCGAAAGCGUGGGUAGCAAACAGGAUUAGAUACCCGCGUAGC